GCCAGCAUGGCUUAGUGGUUUGAGUGUUGGACUACGACUCCGGAGACCGAGGUUCAAUUCCCUGCUCGGCCA